rnacentral:tRNA from 1 species
AAUUAUUUAACUAUAUUAAGUUUAUGUUUUGAAAACAUAAAAAAGAAUUUUAUUCUAAUAAUUU